UGAGGAAUAUUGGUCAAUGGACGAGAGUCUGAACCAGCCAAGUAGCGUGCAGGAUGACGGCCCUAUGGGUUGUAAACUGCUUUUGUUUGGGAAUAAUCGACAUUACGUGUAAUGUUUUGCAUGUACCAUUCGAAUAAGGACCGGCUAAUUCCGUGCCAGCAGCCACGGUAAUACGGAAGGUCCAGGCGUUAUCCGGAUUUAUUGGGUUUAAAGGGAGUGUAGGCGGUUGGUUAAGCGUGUUGUGAAAUGUAGAUGCUCAACAUCUGACUUGCAGCGCGAACUGGCUGACUUGAGUACACACAACGUAGGCGGAAUUCAUGGUGUAGCGGUGAAAUGCUUAGAUAUCAUGAAGAACUCCGAUUGCGAAGGCAGCUUACGGGAGUGUUACUGACGCUUAAGCUCGAAGGUGCGGGUAUCGAACAGG
rnacentral:rRNA from 1 species